rnacentral:lncRNA from 1 species
CUCGCGUGGAUGUACCAAAUUCGUUUCCUCUUUAGGCACGAUCAGACGAUCGAGAUCAAUUGUAAUAAAUGGUCCAUAUUUAUUUCCUCCUUAGGCACAAUCGGACGGAGGAGAUAGAUCACGAUGGAUGAUCCAUAUCAAUACGGGAUGAUUAUAAAUACUUUGCAUCACACGAAAACCUAAACCCUAGUCGCCAACCCCCCGCCGGAAAAGAAGAACUAG